GUAGUUGCUUCCAUUCAUAGCGAUGCCCAGGCACAGCACAGCACAAAAAACUUUGCAGCGAUUUUAAGUGGAAGAUGUAUUGCGAACGUGUGUGCGCACUUGAAAGUUUGCCAUAAUAUGAAGAGGAAACGAUAGCUGCUUUUCCAUUUUCUUUCAUAUUUUCUCGUCCAAACGUGACAUUCUUAAGCCCAAGUAGGAGAGGCUAAAUUAAGUUGUGCUGGUUUCGAAAGAGGAUGUAGAAUGAACACUUGAUGGAAACGAAACACAGCAUCUUCACUAACACAAGGUGUCGAGGUGAGGAAUUAUUUCAAAGUGAAUGUCUGGCUGGGCGAUUUGAUCAACCACAAAGGACUUUGUAGCGAGUGAAAGUACAUUUGAUGACAUUAUUUAUGGAACUGGCCAUCACGGCCACGCUUGCAGAAGACCAUACUCUGAACCCAAUUUUCGACGGUUUUUAAGUAUAAACCGGCCGAUAAUGCAACAAUUUCAUGUUCGAUAUUCGUAUGAAGUUCAUCAAUCGUCGCAGGUUUGCUGGCAUACAUCAUUGACUUGACGUAGCCCCAUUGGAAAUAGUUUAACGACGUCAAUUCACAUCACCGAGGCGGCCAAUUGACUGGACCAUAUCGUGAGAUAACAAGUUCACCAAACAUUUUUGUGUGGAUUGCUGCCUGACCCAUGAUGCAUGUUCAGCCCGAAGUUAAAUGAGCCUCAUCGCUAAGGAUGAUUUUUCAAUGAAAAUCCGAAUAAUUUUCAAGAUGCUGCUCAUACCAAUUCACGAACAUAAGAC